rnacentral:rRNA from 1 species
AUUGAACGCUGGCGGCAGGCCUAACACAUGCGAGUCGAGCGGAUGAAGGGAGCUUGCUCCUGGAUUCAGCGGCGGACGGGUGAGUAAUGCCUAGGAAUCUGCCUGGUAGUGGGGGAUAACGUCCGGAAACGGGCGCUAAUACCGCAUACGUCCUGAGGGAGAAAGUGGGGGAUCUUCGGACCUCACGCUAUCAGAUGAGCCUAGGUCGGAUUAGCUAGUUGGUGGGGUAAAGGCCUACCAAGGCGACGAUCCGUAACUGGUCUGAGAGGAUGAUCAGUCACACUGGAACGGAGACACGGUCCAGACUCCUACGGGAGGCAGCAGUGGGGAAUAUUGGACAAUGGGGGAAAGCCUGAUCCAGCAAUGCCGCGUGUGUGAAGAAGGUCUUCGGAUUGUAAAGCACUUUAAGUUGGGAGGAAGGGCAGUAAGUUAAUACCUUGCUGUUUUGACGGUACCAACAGAAUAAGCACCGGCUAACUUCGUG